UGAUCCUGGCUCAGAAUGAACGUUGGCGGCGUGGAUUAGGCAUGCAAGUCGUGCGGCAGCAGGCCCCGCAAGGGGUGCUGGCGAGCGGCGUAAGGGAGAGUAACACGCGGGUACCUGCCCUCAGGACCGGGAUAGCUGCGGGAAACUGCAAUUAAUACCGGAUGAUGUCUCCGGACCAAAGGUGUGAUUCCGCCGGAGGAGGGGCCCACGUCCUAUCAGCUAGUUGGAGAGGUAAAGGCUCACCAAGGCAAAGACGGGUACGGGGUGUGAGAGCAUGCCCCCGCUCACUGGGACUGAGACACUGCCCAGACACCUACGGGUGGCUGCAGUCGAGAAUCUUCGGCAAUGGGCGAAAGCCUGACCGAGCGACGCCGCGUGCGGGAUGAAGGCCUUCGGGUUGUAAACCGCUGUCAGUGGGGAGGAAAUGCAUGAGGGUUCUCCCUUGUGCUUGACCGAUCCGCAGAGGAAGCGCAGGCUAAGUUCGUGCCAGCAGCCGCGGUAACACGAACUGCGCGAACGUUAUUCGGAAUCACUGGGCUUAAAGAGUUCGUAGGCGGCGCGUUAAGUCGGGUGUGAAAUCCCUCGGCCCAACCGAGGAAUUGCGCUCGAAACUGGCGUGCUUGAGUAAGAUAGAGGUGAGCGGAACUGAUGGUGGAGCGGUGAAAUGCGUUGAUAUCAUCAGGAACACCGGUGGCGAAAGCGGCUCACUGGGUCUUUACUGACGCUGAGGAACGAAAGCUAGGGGAGCGAACGGGAUUAGAUACCCCGGUAGUCCUAGCCGUAAACGAUGAGCACUAGGUUGAGGGGACCUCCACAUCCCCUCGGCCGUAGCGAAAGUGUUAAGUGCUCCGCCUGGGGAGUAUGGUCGCAAGGCU
rnacentral:rRNA from 1 species